rnacentral:ncRNA from 2 species
GGAUUGGCGUCCGGGCGGCUAUCUAGGGGCUGCUGGGAAGAUGGCGGACUCGGUGGCUAGCCGAUGAGGAGGCCGCGGGGGGAACCCGGCCCCCGGGCCCCGAGACCGACUGAGGGAGCGACCUGCGCAGGGCCCGGGGAGUCAUGUAGGGGUGGCGCCUGCGGGGAGGGCUGCGGGAGGGCAGCGGGAGCUGGUGUUAGCGGCAGCGGCCACGGUCUCCUGGCGUCCCUGGGCCGGGGUGGGUGUUGGGGCCCCCGACUUCGCCGACUCCGCGCCAUCGCAAAGCGGUGCACUCGGGCUCCACGCGCGCCCUGCGAGGUGGGCGCUGCGUUUUCAUUUCACGGGUGAGGAGACUUAGAGAGACGAAGCCACUUGUCCAAGGUCACGCCGCUGGGUCUCCAUCACCCAACUCCAUGCUUCGAGUCCUGCUCUCUGCUCAGACCUCCCCUGCUCGGCUGUCUGGCCUGCUGCUGAUCCCUCCAGUACAGCCCUGCUGUUUGGGGCCCAGCAAAUGGGGGGACCGGCCUGUUGGAGGAGGCCCCAGUGCAGGUCCUGUGCAAGGACUGCAGCGGCUUCUGGAACAGGCGAAGAGCCCUGGGGAGCUGCUGCGCUGGCUGGGCCAGAACCCCAGCAAGGUGCGCGCCCACCACUACUCGGUGGCGCUUCGUCGUCUGGGCCAGCUCUUGGGGUCUCGGCCACGGCCCCCUCCUGUGGAGCAGGUCACACUGCAGGACUUGAGUCAGCUCAUCAUCCGAAACUGCCCCUCCUUUGACAUUCACACCAUCCACGUGUGUCUGCACCUUGCAGUCUUACUUGGU